UGCUCCCAGCCACGCCGGCCACCGCGCGCGGCUUUGCCCGGGUCGCUCUGGCGUGAGACGGUGAGAGUGAGAGCCACGGCCUGUGCACCUGCUGCCGCGGCGCCCUGCCACGGAGAGCCCCAGCCGAGGGAGGAAGCCUGCGGUCACUGCCAUCACUGCCUGCCUCUGUGGCAGCCAGGCCUGGUCCUCAGGGAAGCUCUGAAGCUGGGCAGCGUGUGCCCAAGCCAUGCCUCUCACUGCCUUGAGGUCUUGGAUAAGCUACAGAGCCCCAGGAGCCUCAACCCCCUCCUCGCCUGUAAAGCAAGGGUCCUGCCUGCUGCUGCUCAGAGGAGGGUUGAGUGAGACACCCGCGUGGAACACACCUGGGAAACAGCAUGUGCUCUCCUGCCUUUUGGGAGGACACAAACUUCAGUAAACAUCCUCCUCUCCCACCCACCUGCUCUCCGGGAGCCGACCUGCGGGCCCCUGCCACCUGCCUGCCUGAAGCUGGCAUUCGGCUCCAU
rnacentral:lncRNA from 1 species